rnacentral:lncRNA from 1 species
UUUAGUCAUGGAUGGUCAAUUCUUUAUUUGAAAAUAAAAUUAUAAAGAAACAUAAACACACUGAACCAGUUACUGUGUGUGUACACAAAUUGUGGUAAUAGCUUGUGUCAUCUAUGUAUAAACAAAUAGCUAGUGUUAACUAUCGUGUUUGCUCUGAAUUUUUGUUAUUCCAUGUUUGAUUUGUAUAACUGGGUUUUUCUUAUUAAAAAGUAUAUUACUUCAAGUUGAUAGAUGUGAUUGUUUUCCCUU